CAGGCCAUGAAAGAACAAAUGAGGAUAUGAUUCUGCGUCGUAUGGGUUUUUGUUGUUUGCUUCGAGCACCGGCUGCAGUCUUGCGUCCCGUUCAGACCUUACUUUGUUGAACAGUAAGCUGGGUGAACGAAUUUUGUUGUUCCUAUGGCCAUUUUACUCAGUUUUACUCACCUGCGUUUGAACAUUACUGAUUUGCAAUUGCACGCCCUAUUUCAGACACAUUUCUCUCCAACGCUUCGAGACGUCGCUUUCGCCGAAAUUCAAUGAAUUUUGAAGUCCAGCGUUUAGUGUUUCAUCAUCGUGGGUCGCCAGAUGAACAGCAGAUCAUUGACUGUCAAU